AGAUCAUAGAUACUAUAGAAGACAGCGGGCUAUCGUAUCUAGUCUAUGUAUAUCUAUGGUCGGCAGGUCUGGUAGCAUCUCUGGCUGCUGUUGAUCUUGUUUUUGGAGUAAAACACGGUGGAAGCUGAAUUAGUGAGGAUGACUCCUGCUCCUGUCAUCUCUAAGCUCCUCACACAUCUUUACCUGCACAUGAGGAAAAUCACUCCUGUAGAAUGCAGAUGUUCAGAGGGAGAUGAUGCCACAUCUGGUCCAGCUGAUGGAAGGUCUUGAAGUUCUCUGACUGGCCUCGACUGAAGAUGGUCGUCUCACUGGAUUUAAGGUUCAGAUGCUCAGUAACAAACUCCACCAAUGUGCCAACAGGGAAGCUUUAGGUUUAUUAAAUGUUGCUAUGAAGGUUUCGCUGUUUUUCUUUGUGAAUGCAAUGUGCUCCAACUGAAACUUGAAUUAGAACUUAGAAGUAAAUCCUUCCAUCUGAAAGGAUUUAGUUGCAUUAAUAACCUCAUAACAUUUUAAUUUUUCUUCCAGUCUUGGUUGGAAAUAGAAUCUCUGUAUUGAUUCAGGUAAAAACUGAACUUCACAGCAUGUUGGAGCAAAACAACCAGAUGAAAACUGUGAUGGUGUUGGAUUGUCAGACCGUAAUGUUGCAGCUCAAAGCAGCUUUUCUAUCUCAGUUCAUUCUGACAUUCAGCUAUGAAUCAACACAGCAGAUGGUGAUCCAUGCUGUGGAAGUCUCACAUCUCCUGAUUUAAUGGAACUGCUUUGCACUUUUUACACUGUUUAUUUACCAACACUUUAUUUAAUAAAAGUCCCAUCUAGUUUUUAUGAGGAAUGUGAUGUUUUAAUUUCUCUGUGAAUAACUGCAGUCUAAUGGAACAGCUGGAGUUGUAACAUCUGUCCUGAUAUUGAUCAUGAAGUAUUGAUCAGAAUACUUAUGAUGCACAAUGAGGGACGUCUGCAGAGACUGAGAAAGAGUCUCACCACAUCCUGACAUGAGGAAAAAGACUUUAUUGAAGACUACAAUGAGAAAAACUAUCAGACAGCAGACGGCAUGCAUUCAAGCUGCUGAAUUCAUGGAUGAAUCAUCUGGCACUAGAGAGGAAGACCAUCAAACAUCCAUGUCAGCUGAUGGAGGUCCAAGAGUCUCACCAAACAACCAACCUACAGAGUGAAGACCUCAAAUCUGAUUGGACGGCCUCCUAUUCAGCCACAUGUGAC
ensembl:lncRNA